AUUGAACGCUGGCGGCAGGCCUAACACAUGCAAGUCGAACGAGUGGCGGACGGGUGAGUAAUGUCUGGGAAACUGCCUGAGGGAGGGGGAUAACUACUGGAAGCGAUAGCUAAUACCGCACAGAAUCGCAUGUGCCGAGAUUGGAUGAGCUAGUAGGUGAGGUAAAGGAUUACCUAGGCGACGAUCCCUAGCUGGUCUGAGAGGAUGACCAGUCACACUGGAACUGAGACACGGUCCAGACUCCUACGGGAGGCAGCAGUGGGGAAUAUUGCACAAUGGGCGCAAGCCUGAUGCAGCCAUGCCGCGUGUGUGAAGAAGGUCUUCGGGUUGUAAAGCACUUUCAGCGAGGAGGCGUUACUCGCAGAAGAAGCACCGGCUAACUCCGUGCCAGCAGCCGCGGUAAUUC
rnacentral:rRNA from 1 species